rnacentral:rRNA from 1 species
AACGAACGCUGGCGGCAGGCUUAACACAUGCAAGUCGAACGGGUGCAGCAAUGCAUCAGUGGCAGACGGGUGAGUAACACGUGGGAACCUUCCUAGGGGUACGGAACAACUCAGGGAAACUUGAGCUAAUACCGUAUACGUCCGUAAGGAGAAAGAUUCAUCGCCCCUAGACGGGCCCGCGUCGGAUUAGGUAGUUGGUGGGGUAACGGCCUACCAAGCCUACGAUCCGUAGCUGAUCNGAGAGGAUGAUCAGCCACACUGGGACUGAGACACGGGCCCAGACUCCUACGGGAGGCAGCAGUGGGGAAUCUUGGACAAUGGGCGCAAGCCUGAUCCAGCCAUGCCGCGUGAGUGAAGAAGGCC